GGCCCCGGCGGCGUCACAUCCUCGCGGGGCGGGGCGGGGCGGGGCGAGGGUGGCCCGUGGGUGGCCCGGGGAGCGGCUGUGCGGGGAGCAGCUGUGCGGGAGGAUGGCAACAGAGCAGCGGCAUGAGCCGCCCCGCGCCUCGGUGCUGCGCGAAUGGGGGUUGCUCAGCCCGCGCCCAGGAAUCCACGGGAAAAGCCUCCGCGUGGGCACGGAGAGAUGCCAGUCCGGCCGGAGGGACGUGGACAGCAGUGCCUCCUCCCAUGAACAGCAUCAGCACGCUUAGGCCAGGACCAGCUCUGAACCAUCCCAAACCCCCUCGAUCAGCGAGGAUACACAACAGCGCGCUCCUGCGCGGGGACGAACGUCCGAGGAGAGGGAAAGGGGAGGGUUUGCUCCUCUCGGGCCCUUGGCUUGAAUCCCUUCUGUUUCAGUGAGGAACGGAGACCAGGAACUCCCGGGGUAGGAAGCGCACGUGAACGCCCAGUGCAGGCGGAAGAGAAACAAAAACAUUCUCAAAUUAAAAGGCUGCUCAUUUCUCAGAAACCGGGGAACCCUGGAGCUGUACUCCAGAGCUGUGCUCUCCCUUACACCUGGAGCAGCCACACUACUCCAAAGAGGGAACAUUUUGUGCAAGAAGUCACCCCAAGCUAUGCAUAAAACAUGCUCCUGUCCAGACUUGCCUUCUCUGUGCUUUGUGACAUAAUUUUUGCUUAACGAGACUCAGCAAUCCAGCAGCUGCCGGCCCUAUCCAAAAGCUCACUCUGCAGCUAUACAGCCCUGGCAUCGUGGCUACACCGCCGGCAGAAAAACCCUUUGGGGAACUGAAGCACCUUUAUUCUGCCAGGGUUAAAAGCAAACAUACUUGCACUGCAGAACUCACCCCCAGGUGAGACCAGAACUGCAUGUGGUUUCACAACAGAGUUAAAAUAGGCACAGAGUGGUCUCAUGCCAAGUCUAAGGUCCCCCCUCCUCUAGCAUGGCUAAGUAAAGGAGGGGGAGCAAUUAACAUGUGAAGGGUACACGGAAGGAAGAAACAGUCAUGGUCCCAGUCACAAAUGCAGAGCAGCUUCUUGUGUUCAGGUUAGCACUAUUAGAAUGGUAAAAAUAAGAUAAAUUCAUUCAAAGAUGGCAAACAAACAAAUGCAUUUGGAUUUAUGAUUAACCUCUGCCACUCCUCAUACCUUUCCAUCAAAUUAUCAUGGCUUUCACAUCUGCCUGCAGACACGUACAGCCUCUGUUGUGAGGCCAUUAUUACCUUCACAACAAACGCUGGCUCUUACAGAUUCCCGAAUCAUCAAGGCCUGUGCACAACCUCAUCCUGUCCAAUAAAAUACCACACCACAUGCUUAAUUCGCAUCAGCCUCAAUGGGAUUCACAGCGGUGCUUACUUUGCUGAACAGGGGAAAGGAUGAUUCAUAUUUAAUCACAUGCAGAUUGCAAGCCAUCUCCUGCAAGGACCUGACCUCCAAGAAGCUGCUAACACCACUUGUCAGCAGAAAGCCUGAAGGAGAAACAGCGAAAGAAGAUAAACAAUCCCUGAAAUACCAGGGGCUGCAAGAGGUUCAAUUUUAAAUCCCAUUACUUAUGUGAAAGUAAAUACUUGACCAGGCUCACAUGGUCAAGAGCAUUUCCUAAGAAAUGUGUGAUCAAAGUAUAGAAGAGCAAUUACUGUUACAGACAGAACAUGAAACCCGCUAUGUUACUGCUCUCGCUUCAGGAAUGUUCAUGGAAACAACCCUCUGACAAUCUAAACUCAUUUCCCUUGCUGGUGGCUGGUGCUUGUUUCUGCUGGCAUACAAAGACACAAGAAUUGUGAAAUAUAUAGUCAGGUGCUACUGCAGCCUGUGUGCCUCAUGGCAUCUCUCCAGGCCCUAAUAAUCAGAAUUAAAAAGAGCUACUGAAAAUGAAAGCAACUUUCACAAUUUAUUUUUUCAAACACAAACAGUAAUUGCAGUUUUCUGGAUCCUUGGAAGCACAUGGUUACAUGACUACACUUAGUUCCAACUUAUUCCUCCCUUGCCUCUCCCUAGAAUUAUUCUUACUUUUAUUUAAUUGGCACUGGACAGCCCACCAUGGUUUCAGAGACCACGAGUCAUCAGUAUGGGGCACAUAACUUCCUAUUAUAUAUCCUGGGAUCAGAGAACCUCUUCAUUUCACUGAAUUAACAGAUGUAUUAUCACAAUUGUUAUAACUCAUCAACUAUGAUAAACCUUUCCAUGCAUUAUUAAUCCCCAUCACUUGCAGUCUUAUGAUAAAAUGAGAAAACUCAUUUUCUCUCAGGUUCCCUAUCGAGACCAAACAAUUCCUUUAUGCAUAAGAGAUCCUGCAGAUAACUGGCUUCCAGAAGUGAAAAUACUGCAGAUUUGAGUCAACAUUUCUCCAGCUUUCAAGUGUGUGCAGCAGGAGCUACUGUGACUAUAAGAAAGAUGAUGCUAUUCCAAAAAACGAACAUGAGUCCCACUUGAGCAUGCAUGCAAAAAGAGCUCCUGUUCCUAUUCAAGAUUAUUCACUGAGAUUACCAGGACUGAGCCUCUCAAGAGCACCACAGAAGUCCCUGUUACGUUCACAUCUGCGUGAGCCUGACUCAUCUCAGAAGAGAGUGAAGCCCAUGUACAGCCUGUACCGAUUAUCACUCUGCUACCAGCCAUGGUCCUGAGUCCCUCACAGCAGGAUGGAUUACUCAACAAAGCAACUCCAGUUGACAAACUCUAUUAGCAGUUGAUGAAGCCAUUUCCCCACCCCUACAUGAAAAAAAAAAAAAAGAAGUACCUUACAAAAGGAGAGCAAUUCAAAGAUUUAUUAAGCACUGCUUCCCACCCAAACUCAUUCCUAGCUCCCCAGCUGGAUAACCAGUACUUGGGGAAUUUGUGCUCUGCAUAAUAUUGGAGAACUUAGUGCUGUGGAAAACAACAUACCAGAAGACUUCGUAAUUCCUUCCUUUCAUAACCACUGUGGGGAGAAAGGAGACUUGGGAGAUUUUUAGACAAACAAAUUUUACAAUCUUGAUUAAAACGACAGCAGACAAAAACCAAACAAACAAAAAAACCCCAAACCAAAACAAACAAACAAAACCCACAAACCAACCCCCCCCCCCCAAAAAAAAAAACCAAAACCACCAAAAAAAACCAACCCACACCUUGAGUCAUUGAACCACACAGGAAAAUGUGUAACUGAAUAAAUUCAGAACCUGACUCAGGAUUUUUAAAUUCUGACACAUAAAAGACACAACUUCACUGACUGUA